CAUCGGAACGUGCCCAGUAGUGGGGGAUAACUACGCGAAAGCGUAGCUAAUACCGCAUACGUACUAAGGUAGAAAGCAGGGGAUUCUCGGGCAACUGAGGACCUUGCGCUAUUGGAGCGGCCGAUGUCUGAUUAGCUUGUUGGUGAGGUAAAAGCUCACCAAGGCGACGAUCAGUAACUGGUCUGAGAGGACGACCAGUCACACUGGGACUGAGACACGGCCCAG
rnacentral:rRNA from 1 species